rnacentral:misc_RNA from 1 species
UGUGGGAGCGGGCUUGCUCGCGAUAGCGUUGGAUCAGUUGAUAAAUCAUUGACUGAUACCCCGCUAUCGCGGGCAAGCCCGCUCCCACA